UGUGUGCGUGUGCGUGUGCGUGUUAACGUGUGUGGUGGUAGGCGAUGACUCCAGCUCGCCUGCCAGGUGGUUUUCUUAAUUAGUUAAUUGGUUGCAUCUGGUGCGUUUCACUUAAAAGGGAACCGGACAGUACAUUAGUUUGUGUACUGCUUUGUUGGUUAAAGACUUUUUGAAGUAAAGAGGAGCAUCUCAUCUGAACCUGAUGUAUAUCAUGGAUAUUUAACUGCAGUUCUGUGAGUAUCCCAACUUAACCAUGAAGCAUAACUGCAAACUGUAAGUCAUUAAUUUCUCAUUACUCUUGGGCACAUUGAUGUAUUUUGGCUUCCUGGUGAGUUAACCUGUUAAAUGAAGGUUGACCUGAGUUGUAAGGAUGUUUUAUUGGUUCAUGGGUUACUUAGGUGUUUGGUUUAUGUUGGUUUUAAUGAUUUGAUAAACUGGUUACAGACUCCAAGUUAUUGUUGUAAGCUGGAGUAAUGGGUUGGGUUCUGAUAUCUUCAGUCUUCUUUCAUUCUACUCUCCUGAGCUCUGCAUCUUCAUCACAUGAGUGUUGCUUUACUAAUGAGGUUGUGGUCUGAGUGAGCAGAGGUGCAUACUGGGAUACAGAGCUGUCUGAAGUCUACAGGUCUGUAGACACGCCCCCUCAGGGGAAACCGAGUGUUUGAGAAACGUUGGUGACGUCAGUUACAUGGACUGGAAUGUUCUUAAAGAUGGAGACAGGGAUCCAGAAAGAGAAAAAUCAGGGGGAGAUGAGGGGGCUCCUCAUCUCAACGACUAAAACACAACUUCACUCUGACAUAGAGAACCAUGGAACACAUUCAACAGUCCUCUCCAGGCAUCGUGACUCCUCAGGAACAGUUUAAUUUCCAAGAAGGUCUUAUUUGGGGCCAUCCCCAUAUGGAUCCUGCUCCUCAAGAGCCACCCCCCUCCACUGGGUGGUCUUCUGAACAGAUGACCUCCUUCCUGUCCGCAGGCUGACUAAAGCUGCAACGUUUGCAUCUGUGAAGGCCCCGCUUUCAGGAAACCACUGGACUACAAAGACAUGACUUCAGAGAUGUUGAAUCAACCUGGGACACAUUUUUGGAGACGCCAAGCAUAAUCCAUCACCAAUGUGGGACGCCACUGAAGAAUGUUGUACAUAAUUUACGUCUCUUCGAGACAUUGGUUGUUCUGUUAUGGGUGCCCUGGCAGGAGCGCUGGGGGGGGGGUGAUGGAAUGCUAUUUGGCAUCAGGGUUUUUACCCUGUAUGAUUGUUUGGACUUUUAUGGCUCUGUGGUGUGUGUGUUUGGGUUUGACAUGAGAUGGAAGAUUUUUGAGCAUUGCUAGGGUUCUACUGUGUGUGUGUGUGUGUCUCCCACUCACACCUGGCAUGGGGUUCUACGUGCCUGUCCUGGAUUCUAUGUGUGUGUGUGUGUGUGUGUGUGUGUGUGUGUGUGUCCGGCUUGCUUUGACAGCGAUAAUGUUCAUACGGGGGUCUGUGUGAUUGGCUUGGGAUAUUGGAAUGGUCAACUAAAUCAUACCUGAUGGACGGCCACACGUUUACUUAAGGGCCUCCAGUAGACAUGAAGAGCCCUGAGCGACGCUCCGGAGCGAUAUCCAACACACUGGGCAGGAAGGAGAGUAUCCAACUCAAGUGUAAAAGGAUGCAAGCGGCGUGUUCAGAUCAGUGACUUCAAACUAGGACUACACCAAUCAGGAUCAAUGGAGGAUGGACACCAAAAGGAAUUCCACAAGGAGAGUCUGACGUUGGAAAGGGACCUAAAUGGAUAUUCAAGAUGACCUUCAGACCUGUAAUGAGACGGCUCUUCCUACUUGGCUGGAUUGAUGGAGAGCCCUGUGGAUCUUGUCUUGCUCUCAGUUGCACGUCUUCUCAGGCUGAACUGUAUUUGUUUCGGACAGGACAAGUUGAACGAUUGGUUCCCUUAAAUCAGAACCAAUCCGGGAACUCCAGCUAGUGCGCUCUUCGAGCUGAAGUUGUGCUCUUCAGCUGAGGAGGUAAUGAAACCUUCACUGGGGCUUCAAGUUGUAAAGAGGAGAAUGUUUCAAAGUGUUCCAUGGUACUCUGAAGACCGUUGUUGUGUUCCACUGGCUGAGAGAAAGAACCCACACAUCUUCCUCUUGGCCUUUCUCCUCUGAGAAUCCUGGCGCCAUCUUGAAGGAUAUUCCAGCUCAUGUAACUGAUGUCACGACAGAUUCUCAAACACUUGGUUUCUCCUGAGGGGUGUGUCUAUGGAACUGAAGACCUCAGACAGCACUGUAUCCCAGCAUGCAUCUCUGCUCACUCAGACCACACCCCAUGAGUAGGAUGCAACACUAGUGAUGGAGAUGUAGAGUUCUAUAAGUAACGAGGGAGCAGACUAAGGUGAUUGGAACACAAUGGAAUGUCAAGUUUGUAAAUCUAUAAACAAUGAAGAUGGUUGCAUAGUUCAGGAUGUGGCUUAUUUUUAUUAUGGACAGUCCUUUCACUCGGAUGCCCACUUCUCACUGGAGCUGUACAUGUGUUGGCUGGCUGGCAUGAUUUGCUGUUGGUGAUGAGGCGGUCAGGGUGACGUUGCAGGGCUAUGGUCGGCUCUCUGUGAGCUCAACGUUUAGAUUUGCUCUGUAUGUUUGUACCCUGAAUAAUCUAGAUAAUUGUAAAAUGUAGACACGGUUUUGUAUUGAAUGAUUCUAGGAUUUUAGUUUUAAAGUUGUCGUGGGACGUACAUGGUAGUUUGUUUUCUUCGUAUGGUUUUGAGUGAUAACUUGUACACACUGGGUGCAUAAUAAUGUGGAGGUACACUGAAUAGUACUAAUGACCAACAGCAACAAACAGAUCUCCUCAAGGUAAGUCUGUUGGCUGUGUUUUAAUGAAGACCAUCGCUGGACUUCAGGAUCUUCCUCCGUUCAGCUCAAGGUGAGGCGCUGGUUCUGUUUUUUUCUUUGGUUGGUUCCGGCCGGAAUGUUCGGAUUCCAGUCGGACGGUUUGUGCUUCCCGCCGUGGAAGGUUCUGAGUGCGGUCACUUGAUUUAGUCCCAAUGGUUAGCAUAGAACGUUGUAGUCUUGACAACCAUAAGAAACCACCUGGCAGUUAGUUGGACGGGAGUCCCCUGAGGGAAUCUGGCGGAACGUUCUGGAUUGUAUUUGCGUAACCUCGAGCCGUUGCCAACGGAAACUUUUUUUUUUGUCUGUUUCCAUCGGGAAUUGUUGCCCCUAUCUUAAACAACUUAAGUUUGAUAUUAAAUACAUACUGACACGUACGUCGUACAAUAUGUUGAUUUCCGAUGGUUGCGCCGUAUUUUUAACCAUGAUGACGUGAUGGGACUCUCACUGCGUACAAAACAGCGUUCUACUUGCGGGCCCAUUUUUGACAUCAGGGAAGGCUGAAAAUCAUUUCAAGGAGGAAGAUAAUUUGACAUUUCUUCAACGGAACCCAGCACCUGAAUAUGGCUGAGUAUAUUUGAUUUAAUAUCGAUACUGCUUAGUGUUCUUUGUUACUUCAGCUUUUGUACGUUCUAAAUAUCUGCUGUCAUUAAUUGCUACAGAAGUUAAACCCUACCCAAUGGAAUAACGACUUUGGUGCAGAGUUACCAACUAGAUAAUAUCAAAGCUAAAAUAAUGGCCGUCAUUCCCACAUGUUACAGUAGAAGAUACUCUAGAACUGUACAAGGUUAAAGAGGUAACAUGUAGUUUGUCCCAAGGUGUCUGCCUCCUCACCUAGAGUAAGACCUCCACCUCUUCACCCGGAGCCAGACCUCCACCUUCUGUCAGAAGUCCUCCAGAACAGAUGAGAGGCUGGGGACCGGAGGCUUGUGGUGCCAGGGUGGACCGGAGACUGAGGCUGGAGACCAGGGGUCUGCAGCACCGGACCAGAGGACCAGGACUCUGUCUGAGGAGAGCUGCUGGAGGAGCUGAGACGCUGGAGGACGACUAGGAAUCGGCCAACAAGGAUUCCUCAACGUGUUUCUGGAGCGGAGGCGAGCUGGUAGGGGAGCCGUGAAUCUGGAGGAUGACCAUCACUCUACCAACAAGGAUUGUAAGUUUGUAUUAACCAAAAAAACUGGAAAUAAAGGGCUUAAGGUUUUAGUUUUAAAGUUGUCGUGGGACGUACAUGGCAGUUUGUUUUCUUCGUAUGGUUUUGAGUGAUAUAACUUGUACACACUGGGUGCAUAAUAAUGUGAAGGUACACUGAAUAGUACUAAUGACCAACAGCAACAAACAGAUCUCCUCAAGGUAAGUCUGUUGGCUGUGUUUUAAUGAAGACCAUCGCUGGACUUCAGGAUCUUCCUCCGUUCAGCUCAAGGUGAGGCGCUGGUUCUGUUUUUUUUCUUUGGUUGGUUCCGGCCGGAAUGUUCGGAUUCCUGUCGGACGGUUUGUGCUUCCCGCCGUGGAAGGUUCUGAGUGCGGUCACUUGAUUUAGUCCCAAUGGUUAGCAUAGAACGUUGUAGUCUUGACAACCAUAAGAAACCACCUGGCAGUUAGUUGGACGGGAGUCCCCUGAGGGAAUCUGGCGGAACGUUUUGGAUUGUAUUUGCGUAACCUCGAGCCGUUGCCAACGGAAACUAUUUUUCAGUCGGUUUCCAUCGGGAAUUGUUGCCCCUAUCUUAAACAACUUAAGUUUGAUAUUAAAUACAUACUGACACGUACGUCGUACAAUAUGUUGAUUUCCGAUGGUUGCGCCGUAUUUUUAACCACGAUGACGUGAUGGGACUCUCACUGCGUACAAAACGGCAUUCUACUUGCGGGCCCAUUUUUGACAUCAGGGAAGGCUGAAAAUCAUUUCAAGGAGGAAGAUAAUUUGACAUUUCUUCAACGGAAUCCAGCACCUGAAUAUGGCUGAGUAUAUUUGAUUUAAUAUCGAUGCUGCUUAGUGUUCUUUGUUACUUCAGCUUUUGUACGUUCUAAAUAUUUGCUGUCAUUAAUUGCUACAGAAGUUAAACCCUACCCAAUGGAAUGACGUUAAACAACGACUUUGGUGCAGAGUUACCAUCUAGAUAAUAUCAAAGCUAAAAUAAUGGCCGUCAUUCCCACAUGUUACAGUAGAAGAUACUCUAGAACUGUACAAGGUUAAAAAGGUAACAUGUAGUUUGUCCCAAGGUGUCUGCCUCCUCACCUAGAGUAAGACCUCCACCUCUUCAUCCGGAGCCAGACCUCCACCUUCUGUCAGAAGUCCUCCAGAACAGAUGAGAGGCUGGGGACCGGAGGCUUGUGGUGCCAGGGUGGACCGGAGACUGAGGCUGGAGACCAGGGGUCUGCAGCACCGGACCAGAGGGUAACCAUCACCAAGCUCAUCUGAAACACUAAAAGACCAGGACUCUGUCUGAGGAGAGCUGCUGGAGGACGACUAGGAAUCGGCCAACAAGGAUUCCUCGUAAGUUUGUAUUUACUUACAUGUUUGCCUUAAAGGGCAAAAUACAGCUGUUACCAUUACAUGUGUUUUCUUACUAGAACGUGUUUCUGGAGCGGAGGCGAGCUGGUAGGGGAGCCGUGAAUCUGGAGGAUGACCAUCACUCUACCAACAAGGAUUAGUUUAGGGCCAGACUCUCGCUGUUUGUUCGAGACCAGGACUCUGGCUGAGGAGAGCUGAUGGAGGAGCCAAGACUCGAGCCAAGAGGACAACAUCACUCCACCAACGAGGAUCCUCACCAGGAAUCUGGAGGACUGAUGGAGAAGCCGUACAUCUGGAAGGCAAAUCCUGAGGACCACCAGGACUCUAUCAUCAAGGAUUCCUAAGUUUGCAUUAUCUGGACAUAGUGGACUAGACACUGCUGAGCUGAACCUCACCUGAUCAUGUUUGGUCGGGGGUAGACACACCUGAGCUAAACCCGCCCUGAUCCUGACAUCCUGCUGGUCCCGUCUCCUCAGUUCAUAUGAGCCUCGUCCUCCAGAAGACCUGCUGAGCUCAGCAGUCUGAGGCUGAUGGAUCAAUGACCUCCAGUGGGAGUGAUCUUCUUGACCCCACAUGUAACCGUGUGCUUCCACACGCCUUUCCCUCACGUCUGUCACUAACCUCACUACUUCACUACUCUCUACUGCUUCCUCUUUUCUUCCUUCUCUGUGGUUCAAACCUUUACACUGAAGGCGCGUCUUCCUGCCCUCAGAGGGUUUAGCGUUAGGGUUGAGAGUCAGGGUUUAGAGUCAGGGACAGAGCUGGUCAGGGAGGACUGCUUUUACACAAACCUCUUCACUUGCUUUCGGAACGGUGGUGACAUUUUGAAAAGAUUGAUUUGGGAAAAUGUUUCCCUCUGCUGAGUCCUGGUCUGUUUGUUCCAGACCAGGACUCUGGCUGAGGAGAGCUGAUGGAGGAGCCAAGACUCGAGCCAAGAGGACAACAUCACUCCACCAACCAGGAUCCUCACCAGGAAUCUGGAGGACUGAUGGAGAAGCCGUACAUCUGGAAGGCAAAUCCUGAGGACCACCAGGACUCUACCAUCAAGGAUUCCUAAGUUUGCGUUAUCUGGACAUAGUGGACUAGACACACCUGAGCUGAACCUCACCUGAUCCUGUUUGGUCGGGGGUAGACAUACCUGAGCUAAACCCGCCCUGAUCCUGACAUCCUGCUGGUCCCGUCUCCUCAGUUCAUAUGAGCCUCGUCCUCCAGAAGACCUGCUGAGCUCAGCAGUCUGAGGCUGAUGGAUCAAUGACCUCCAGUGGGAGUGAUCUUCUUGACCCCACAUGUAACCGUGUGCUUCCACACGCCUUUCCCUCACGUCUGUCACUAACCUCACUACUUCACUACUCUCUACUGCUUCCUCUUUUCUUCCUUCUCUGUGGUUCAAACCUUUACACGGAAGGCGCGUCUUCCUGCCCUCAGAGGGUUUAGCGUUAGGGUUGAGAGUCAGGGUUUAGAGUCAGGGACAGAGCUGGUCAGGGAGGACUGCUUUUACACAAACCUCUUCACUUGCUUUCGGAACGGUGGUGACAUUUUGAAAAGAUUCAUUUGGGAAGAUGUUUCCCUCUGCUUUCCUUUACAAAAUUGUAUUCAACUUCUGUCAAGUGUUUUGGUUUAUAUAUUAAAAUCCCACAUUGACUUCUACAUGUUUGGUGCGGUUCAUUUAAUUGUCCUUUUAACUUGGUUAAUGUCAAGCUAAACUCCUAAUACAUUUAACAUACAUGAUUGUUAUUCAGCAAUGUUCACAUAAUCCAUUUUGUAAAAAUAUGACGC
ensembl:lncRNA